rnacentral:rRNA from 1 species
AACGUAGGAGACAAACGUUAUCCGGAGUUACUGGGCGUAAAGGGCGUGUAGGCGGUUUGUUAAGUCUGGCGUGAAAGCUCUCGGCUAAACCGGGAGAGGUCGUUGGAUACUGGCAAACUAGAGGACGGUAGAGGCGUGUGGAAUUCCGGGUGUAGUGGUGAAAUGCGUAGAGAUCCGGAGGAACACCAGUGGCGAAGGCGACGCGCUGGGCCGUACCUGACGCUAAAGCGCGACAGCAUGGGGAGCAAACGGG